GGCUGAGAGGCUGCAGCUGCGGGAGGCAACCGCGACCGGGACGGGGGCUCGGGUCACACAAACAGAGCCACACCUACCCCGCCCGCCCCAGCCUUCUACGGUCCCCGCGGCCGGCGCUCCUGCGCGGGGCCCAGCCCUCGGCGACUAAUACUCAACUUUCCCAGCCCCGCCCCACUGCCCGCCCCGGGGCUGCAGUCCCAGGCUCCCGCCGGGCGGAGACUCGACCGCCUCCUUUUCCAGCAUGUUCAUUCCCGACCCCGCCCGUGGCUGGCGGGUGCGUGGGUGCUCCGUUCCCCGUGUGGCCCGCGCGCGGAGAGAGCCCAAGUGCGCCCCGCUGCCGCGCGCCCGCCGGGCCUUGCCCCGCCGCCCUUCCUUCUCGCUCCAGCUGCCCGUAAGGCCGGCUCCGGCUUCGGCCUGCGCGGGGCACCUUGGCGCCUCCUCCCCGUGGACUGUCAGCCGCGGCGCGGCCAGCGACGGACGGAGGCUUCCGGGAACUUAGACGCGGGAGAGGCCGACGCCCGCUGCUUGCCCUGCCUCCCUCAUCUCGGAGGAAGUGGCGACCACAUCCUUCCCCAGGGCUGGCACACCAACAACUUGGAGUCGUCCUCCGCUCUCCUUUCUUCCCCUCUCCCAGUAGGCAGAAAGUAGCAAACUCACACUCCUUCUUCAAACUACUGUAUGAAGAAUUCUACUACUCUUCUGUGACACCCUGGUCUGCCACCAGCAUCUCUCACUUGGAUUACUGCCUUCAUCUCCCUCUGCUCUCCCUGCUUCCACCCUGGAGACCCUACAGGCUACUUUCCAAAGCAGCAGUCGGGAUGAUUGGUAAAACAUCCCCUGAGCCUCUGCCCAGGACCGUCCAAUUGCUCUGUAGCUCAUGACAAAAACACCUUGUUAGUUCGAAGCUUCCUCAGGAGCUUCUCAAGUGUGAUCUGAAGCCGGCGCUAGUGUGGCUUGGAGACCCAGGCAAACCACUCCAGAUUGCUUUGCCAGAUCUCUUUGGUGAAGAUAGAGCAUUCCUUGGGAAAGAGUGUGACCCUGAAUGCUAAAAUGUGAACACAUGGAAAGAUUCAGAUGGCUUCUAGUUCCCUGAGCUCCCAAACCUAUGGAAAUACACUAUUCAGAUCUCCUGCUGCAUGGAGUAUGACUGACUGACACUCAGCAGCUGCCCACCCUUGCACCGAGGCCAUGCUCCCGGGCUGCUCCCAAUGGGGGAGCACGUGAAGUACCAAGGCAGGCCAGUUUUGGCAAGAUGUGAGAAUCCACCUUUGGCAACUUUGCCUUGAAGACUCCCCAUUGGCCUGGCCACACCUUUAUUUGAAUUGUGCUGCAGCUCAAGAUUCUUCUUCCCCCAAUCCUCCUGCCUUCCCUCUCUCCUUCCACUGGCAUUACACAUGAAUCAUAAUCUAAAGCCUCUCCCUAUGUUCUCCUGAUCCCUCUCCCCCCUUGAAAUCUCUUGAACUUCUAAUCCCGUUGUAUCAUCUGUUUCUUGGCAGACCUAAACUAAUGCAGCCUUCCUCGUCAGACAAAUUCUCCCCAUCCCCUGUGUGUGAGGCUUUUCUCAUCCUGCACGAAGACUCUGUAAUGACCUUAGUGGACAUAAUCUGUCAGGAGGUUGGGGUAGCCAAUUCUCUUCAUUCUUCACCCCUAACAUCUUUCCUAGCCUUGAAUCAUGCCAUCAGUAAUGUGCUAGAGACAGUCUGUACCAGAUCACAAAAGUCAAUUGAGAAAUUUUCAGGAAUUUCGUGAGCUGGUUGGUAAACACAGUCAUUAUUAAAACUUAAAUGUACUUAUAAAUAAAUUACAUUAACAACAAAGGUAAUAAAAACUCAAAAACUUAUCACUCUCUAGUUAUUAACAAUAUUUUAUUAGUAUCUAUGCUCUUGAAGUUACUUACAUCUCUUAUGUCUGGGUGUUGGAAAUAAUAUAUAAUGGUGUGCUGCUUGCACUUCUCUUUGGAGUUUGAAGGCCAGAUUUAGAUGUGCUGUUUCAGCUCAUUUCUUCAGCCAGCUGAGAGGUGACAGCUUUGAGGGCAGCUUGAAGCAAGAGAAGGCUUGUAGCCGGUCCAGGAAGCUCUGCCCUCUGAUCCAAUGAAUCCAGUGUACUUGAAACACCUGUGGCAGAUUGGGCUGCUGCAUGGAGCUUUGGCACGUCCAGGAAGGCAAAGCAGAGCACAGGCCCCCAGGGUUUUGCAGCCCAGUCGUGAACUCUGUGGCAUAUAACUGUUCUCCUUUUGAGAGGCCAAUCUUGGUUUGUUGCCUGGCACCAAUAAAUACAGCAGCCUGAUCAUGAGGCAUUAGGUAACCAAGCGACUGAUGCCCUUUGUAAACUCAGGGUCAUCUGAUCCACCAAGCCAUAAAGUCAGCUAACAUUUAGUGUGUCUGAACAGUGUGCCAGGCACUGUUCCAUGCACUUUACUUGUAACAUUUCUUUUCAUCUUCACCACAAUUCUGGGAGGCAGUUCUGUUAUUAUUGCUAUUAUCCCUGCUUUGGCUGAGAAAACCGAUACAGAGAGAGGAUAAGUGAUUUGCCACCUAGUCAUAUAGCUCAUAAGUAGCAGAGCUUGGUUUGAACCCGGACCCUCUGGCCCCAAAGUCCACAUGUUCAAUUACCAAAUUAUAUGGCUUCUUGUGAUCGAGUGGAAGUUCUCUGUAUAAGAUUGGGCUUGAGCAGAAAUUGAAGACACAACAGAUUGCAUGGUGUGCUCAGUCCUCGCAUACUGCUGCUUUUCCUCCAGCGACACAUCUGACCCAGGGAUGCUCGCGAAGUCCAGAGGACUGAACAGACAACCUGCACAAGAUGAUGGCAGUGCCACAAGUGGAUGCCACAACACUCUAGUCCAACUCAAGGCUGGCCCUGAAGAACAACUGAGGAGAAUUCUCCAGUAGGCAGAAUUUUUAACAUUUCAUCCUGUUGACCACUUUGUCUGAAAGGAGACAUGGCCUGAGGUGCAUAUGUCACCUGUACUGGACAGUAACUGAUGGUUUAGCUGGGUGGCCAGACUGGGAAGGUCACGAAUGCAAGGCUGAUGGUAACAAAGAUGUCUGGGGAAGAGGCAUUCAGGGGGUCUCUCAGAACGGAUCCUCUAGAGUAUGAAGAUAUG